AGGGGCAGGUGUGGGUCUACCCCUGCUCACUGAGGGGCAGGUGUGGGUCUCUACCCCUGCUCACUGAGGGGCAGGUGUGGGUCUACCCUGCUCACUGAGGGGCAGGUGUGCGUCUACCCCUGCUCACUGGGGGGCAGGUGUGGGUCUACCCUGCUCACUGGGGGGCAGGUGUGGGUCUACCCUGCUCACUGAGGGGCAGGUGUGCGUCUACCCCUGCUCACUGGGGGCAGGUGUGGGUCUUCCAUGGUUUGCGUGUCAUCUGCAACAACAUAGGAAAACCUGCUCAGGAAAAGAGAAGCCAGGAGAACGGAGGAG